CCACUACAGUGUUGCGGGCUUUCAGGCUUCAGGAACUCCAUCUCCAAUCGGCACGAACCAUCAGCAAAGGCAGCGAACUCCAGCGGUAAACGACAGCUAAUAGCGGCGAACCAUUGGCUAAGCUGCGGCGAAACCAGCGGCGAUUAAGAUGGCUGAUGAAAGUCAAGUUAGUGCGGCUGGUUCAACUUAUAGUGUACCUGAUAUUAUCAAUGAAUCCAAUGACAACUCAGUUGACACCGUGGAUCCAAAAAAAAGAAAUGGAAAGUAGGUCUACUGCUUGGAAAUAGCAUUUCUGCAAGGUGUGGCAUCGGGAUGUGCGUUUAGCACCGGUGGUCGUAUUCUUGAUCUAUUUAGAAGUUCAUUGACUUCUGAAUGUGGGCAAUGCCUUAUUUGUAUUCAAGAUUGACUUAGACAAGAGCCUAGUCCUAUUUGUGUUGAAGAAAAUUUGGAGUUCCUUUGAGAAAAUUGAACUUGGUUGAAGUGAUGCCUCAUAAAUCUAAAGUUUAUCCACCUAUUAGGGAACAUUAUGAGGUGGUUCAAGACAAUGAAGAAGUGUGUAAAGCAAGGUGCUUGAAGUGUGGAUUAAUCCUUAAUUUUCAUCCGAAAACAUGUGGCACAUCUUCUUUGCAUAAGCAUUUCAAGAAGUGUUUUAUGAAAGAUGAAGAGAAGAUGAUUCGUAUUUAAACACUUGAGAUGAUUUGUAUUUAAAUACUUGUUGUUACUAUUAUUUUAUUUAUCUGGGGGCUGCUACUGGUUUAGGCUUUUUAGCCUUUUAGACUACUACUAUUUUUGUAUUUUGUGUAGCUACAGUGGUACUAUUUUCCAGUUUUCCUUUUGCAGUAAUUAUUAAUUUGCUUUUACUGUGACGGCUCCUAGUUUCAUACCAUUAUGAAUGGAUGAUUUACAGAA